CAACCUGCCGUCUACUCUUGGCCAGCCUUCUGAAAGGAAGAUUAAUCCAGGAUGGCAUCAUGAGUUCACAUGUCCGCAUGAUUAAAGGUAUUUUCCGGUAGACGAUGGGGAUGCGUUCCAUUAGAUAGUAGGCGGGGUAACGGCCCACCUAGUCAACGAUGGAUAGGGGUUCUGAGAGGAAGGUCCCCCACAUUGGAACUGAGACACGGUCCGAACUCCUACGGGAGGCAGCAGUGAGGAAUAUUGGUCAAUGGGCGAUGGCCUGAACCAGCCAAGUAGCGUGAAGGAUGACUGCCCUAUGGGUUGUAAACUUCUUUUAUAAAGGAAUAAAGUCGGGUAUGCAUACCCGUUUGCAUGUACUUUAUGAAUAAGGAUCGGCUAACUCCGUGCCAGCAGCCGCGGUAAUACGGAGGAUCCGAGCGUUAUCCGGAUUUAUUGGGUUUAAAGGGAGCGUAGAUGGAUGUUUAAGUCAGUUGUGAAAGUUUGCGGCUCAACCGUAAAAUUGCAGUUGAUACUGGAUGUCUUGAGUGCAGUUGAGGCAGGCGGAAUUCGUGGUGUAGCGGUGAAAUGCUUAGAUAUCACGAAGAACUCCGAUUG
rnacentral:rRNA from 1 species